UACCGAGGUUGCAAGCGUUGUUCGGAAUUACUGGGCGUAAAGGGCGCGUAGGCGGCCUUCUAAGUCAGACGUGAAAUCCCCCGGCUUAACCUGGGAACUGCGUCUGAUACUGGGAGGCUUGAGUAUGGGAGAGGGAUGUAGAAUUCCAGGUGUAGCGGUGAAAUGCGUAGAUAUCUGGAGGAAUACCGGUGGCGAAGGCGGCAUCCUGGACCAUAACUGACGCUGAGGCGCGAAAGCUAGGGGAGCAAACGGG
rnacentral:rRNA from 1 species